AUCCUCCUAUAGUUCCUCAAUGUGUUCACACUCAUCGGCGAGAUGUGCCUCCCUCAAACCUUGUUAAGAUGCUGCAGACACAUUACCCAUCAGAUG
ensembl:snoRNA